ACACACAUACACACCAACACAACCAUUCCUCCCCUGACAUUCCCUCAAGCAAGAAAGAUGCUGUAUGUGACACAACAUCGAGAGAUAAACCAUAUGUUACCAAUAUGUUAGCUUUAUUUUGCGGAUUAGAUGGAGAAUGAGGAUUUGUCUGCACUGUUUGUGUAAUAACGAAUGAUAACAGAUUUCAACAGAUAACAAAGUGUGCCCAGCUGACCCACUGAUUAAUCUCUAACAUGACUUAUAAAGUCAGUGUAAUGUUAACAUUACACUGACUUUAUAAGUGACGUUGUUUUAACAACGGCACGUCACUACUUAUUUGGCAUCUUUGAUCAUUGCUUUCAUCACAUGAGGACCCUUUCGCUGUCGACGGUGCUCAAUGUCUUCUUGUAACAGGAAACAGCAAAAAUGUGGAUGUUUGUGAAGUUAAUGUCAAGAUGAAGUCAGAAAUAUCUUCCUCAACAUUUUCAAAUGCUCUGUAAAUAAUCUAGUGGAGGUUUGCCUGGAUCAAUCAAGUCCAUUUUGACAAUCCAGAGAAAAAAGACACUUAAACAUGUCCCCAAACAGACCGAUGGACGAGCAAUGUGGGGCGGUUUCAAAAGAGAAAAAAAGAUGCUUGUAAAAAUAAAAAUACUUUUUUUCUUUUUGCCUUGUUCAGUUGCCAAAUCCCAACGAGUUUUAAGAUUAAACCUGUAAUAAUGUAUUCUUUCUGCGGGUUGGAUUAGGUCGUGCCAUGCAAUUAACGCUUAUGAAUUAUUCAUGUGCACAAGAAGAUCCAAUACAUUAGUCGUUCAUCCCCAGAAGGUGACACACCCUUGGCCCGAGCUAAUGGAAUAAUUGUCUCCUCUCAUUUUGUCAGUAGAGUCAAAGGAACACACACUCAAAAAGGAUCGUCUCCAACGUCGUAUUUCACGUUGGACCCAAAUUUUAGCACGCAUUUAAAGAGGGACAAUUCCAAGGUCACGCUGGUUUGUAGACUCCUUAAGAAAUUGCUCUAGUGUUGCACAGUCUGGGCUGAAGACACAUUUACUGUCGGUAUUAAUGUGUAAACUUUGUGAAUCUCACGAAUGUUUCUAUUUUCAUCUGUAACCUUCACAGCAGGUAAUUGUCCUUUUAAAGUCAUAACAUUUAAAUAAAACGUGUUUGUUUAGCAACGCUAGGCCGUGGCGUGAGGUAAGUGGCGCUGUGGUUCUUCAAACAACAAUAAGCUUGUGCAGUGCAGGUGCAGUUCAAGCUCUUUUCACACUUGUUGCGUUGUUUUCUUGUUUUUCUACGUGUUUUUUGAGUCAUUGCAUUCCUGCUAAAAAACACUGAUUACCUGAGGCUCAACCUCGGUGAAAUAGCAGUUUAAUGUUUUUUUCUCAGCAACAGCAACUCAAGCAGAGUAAUAUGAUUUAAUAUAACAGCAUUAUGGUUUUGUUAUGUUGUAUGUUCUUUCUGUUUGCCUGAAAACUGUUUGUUGUUACCUUGUUCGUCAGCUAGAUGUCAGCAGCAGACAGUCUUUUGUUAAUAAAGCGGACCACAGGGAAAUUAUUUUUACUGUCAAAUCAGAAAUUAGACACAUUAGCGCUUUACUUUUAAGUCCAAUGCAAGAAGUCACUUAAUGCAGACAGCUUAUGGUUGUUUUAAUGACAUUGGUUCUAAAUACAAGGUUUGUCUUUACUCUUGGCUAUAUAAUCAAAACUGAUUAUAUAGCCUUCACUGCAUUUGAUUAAUGACCAUAGUAUUGAUUAAGCAGUGUGUUUAUUGAUUCUAAAUUAUAUGGAAUACAAUAAAAAUACCAUUUUCAGCUUUUGAUAUGCAUCUUGAAUAUUCUGAUUGAAUCUUUCAGUAUUCAUCAGCAGAGGGCACUGUGCCUUUUCUCCUUCUCGGGAGAUCAGAUUUGUCUUUUGAGCUGUGAAAUUCCUCUGGCGGCUCCCAUGAAGACGUCUCCUGAGUUGCUUGUUUUGCCUGCCUGUGUAUCCUACGUCGGUCCUUAGACCACUGUUAAAUGUCAAACAAAGCAACAGUGCAGCUCUGUGUUUGCAGCCUGACAGAGGAGGGUGCUCAAGUCCAACAUGAACACAAUGACUGUGAUGAUUGUGACACUGUUUGAAUGUGACUGUGUGCCACAGCUGGACUGGAGCCCUGCUGCUGCUGCUCAGACACCUGAUGAGAGGAUUCCUUUAUUGCAAGCGCUGCUAAAGGUGAUUCGCGUCAUGUUGCAACUAAUCAAAAUAGUGUCGUUUUCUGUGUAAUUUAAGCUAUCAGUUUGGAACUCUCUAGGGAUAUUCUCUCCGGGUUUAUUGUGUAUUUUUACAGGUGGAUCUAUUCUUUAGGCUUACGUUUGUUUAUACAGUUAAAGCUUUUUGUGUGCGGUUAUCACAUUGUAAUUGUUUUUUUAUCUCAACGUUGGUAGGUGAGCAUGACGUGCUGUAGCUUACUGUGGUGGAGAUGUAAACCUUGUUAUCCCUCUUGGUGCCACCAAAACCCCUGCACAGAAACCUUCAUUUGAAUAUUAAGAUUUUGGUUUUGGCGAACUGAAUGCAGGAUUCUCGAUGCUUACUGUUGGAAUAUAAUUUACCUUGUAAUUCAAUCCCCUUUGUUGGAAAACCUUAGCUAAUUCUUUAAGUACGGCUUAUGUCAGUUUGUGCCAUUUCGAUCUAAGAAAAAUCUCCAGUAUGAUAAAAUAUACAAUCCACGUGACCAAUACAUAUCAGAAUACGCUUUAUUUAUUAGCUGAUAUAAGGGAUCUAAAAGCUCCUCUUCCCUCUCUCCUUCUAUAAGAAUUCACAUCUCAUUAAUGCACAUCACUAAUUCCACCUCUUUUUGGGCUUUCUCUCCUCACAGGUUUCUAUGAAUCAUUGUUUUUACAUGUCAUUUAGCUGACGCUUUAUCCAAAGCGACUUAUAAUAAGUGCAUUCAACCAUAAGAAGACAGACACAAAAGAACAAGAAAGUGCAAUUUCAUCAAAUAAGCCGACCAACAAAUCGACUUUGUUGGUCUUUGUAGUCGAGGUAGAGUCUGAAGAGGUGUGUCUUUAGUUUGCGGCGGAAGAUGCGAAGGCUCUCAUUCAGGGAGACCUGCCAGGAGAGUUACAGUAGUCCAGGCGGGAGAUGACAAGAGCCUGAAUCAGUACCUGCGCUGCCUUCUGAGUGAGAAGGGGACGUAUUCUCCUGAUGUUGUAGAGCGUGUAUCUACAGGAUCGUGUUGUCGCAGUGAUGUUGGGAGUCAGGGAGAGUUGGCUGUCAAGUGUCACGCCGAGGUUCCUGGCAGUCAAAGUGGGCGUUAACGUUAUAUCUGGAACCUGGUCCGGCCUCCUGCCGUGGCCCUGCUGACACCUGCUGCUGGUCACAUUACUAUCACUGUCAUCAUAAUCCAACAUUACUGGUUUUGUGUCUUCCCUAAAGUAUUUGUGCGUUGCAUGGUCUCUGUCUCUCAGACAUUCCUCUCCUCUGGGCACAAAUCUGUCUCAAAGUGAGAAGUACAGUAAGAGCAAAACUCAUUCUGCUGAGCUUAUCUACUACAGCCUUAGCGAGCAUUGAUUUCACACCAGAUCAAAGCAAUCUUCUAUUUUCUGACCAGUUCAAUACUGCAGAUUCAAAGCAAAAAGAAACAAAGGAGCUUUUUUUAAAUAGUUUUCCACAGAUGCUGGGCUGAUUUAAACAACAUUUUCCCAUAAUGACCAGUUUUUUAGAUGCCCCACAGUUGUACUCUAUCGAUCUGCUCAGCGGUCUUUGCUGAGACAAGAGUGACAGAUACUGUGAGCUGGAGACACCACAGUUGUACCAUCCUGCACUUUUCCUUCUCCUUUAAUAAAGAGUUUAGUUUCUUAUGCUCUCGCAUAGUGAGGGGAAACUGAUUUAUAUACUCUCCGCUUGCCAGGUUAUAGUUUCAUUUUUAAAAUUACCUUAUUGUUAAAUACAUUCAACGCAAAUAAAUACAUAGGCCUAAUAAUUAAGACGUAUGUAUUCAUUUGCAUAUAAAAUGUCCAUCCAUUGGAAUUACAUUUUAAGUGAUAAUUACAUUUGCUGGUCAAAAUAACUUCAAGUAACAACCAAGUAAGAAUUACAUUUAUUUAAAAAAAUACCAGUAAGCCAAAUGAGUUUUAAAUAUACAAUAAAUUGGUAUAUGCUUUUACCAUGAAUGAGCCAGUUUGUUUUAAAUUGAUAAACAUGUGUUUGUAUUCACUGUUAAUAGAGCUUAUUUCUGAUAUUCAUAACGAUUAGGUUUAUGCGAUCAACUCAAUUAACUCAAAAUACAUACAAUUAAUAUGAUUUUCUUAAUAAACCCAAUGUAUUUUAAAAUGUAACCCCACAUAUUUACAAAUAAAACUUUCAUAAAUAAAUAGAACCUUUCCAAACAGUAUUGGAUUUGAAUCAGUUAGACUUUCAGAAGUAGGGAAACGCUCCAGGAAAUCCCUCUUCAAAUCUAUUGAAAAGUAUAUUUAUUGCACCUCCUGUAAUCCUCUUCACCUCACCAGCAAGAAUAACCAAUCUCCAUUUAGAACUCUGAAAACAUGUGUCAACUUUAGCAUAGAGCAACUAAAACCUUUCCCAUCCAUAAAAAACAUUCACCCCAAACCUGACUUUUUAAACUUUUAAGUUUUACAUUGUUAUCAGGAUUAGUCAUGGCCUUCUAGCUUGUUCCCCAAUUUUGAUCACAGGAUUUAUUCCUCUGCAUGAAUACAUUUUUUAAAAAGGCAGCUUGAUAUGUGCACCCUUUGUGACGGGGAUUCUAUACUGGACACAUCUGAUAGGGAAAUCCUAUCAGAUCCCUAAUUGUGGGCGGAUUUUGGAUUCAGUGAAGUCACGACAUUCAAACUCCGGAGCCAACUGUGACCUGGUGAGGUAGAAAAGGCGUUGCCUUGUUUCCCUUUCUCUGUCAAGCUUUGGAACUCUUAAACACUGUUAUGAUUUAAUUACAGCAAAACUAGUUAUUUCCACAAAAACAGAUUACACAUUUGACCCCUUUUCCCUGUCGAGUUGAGUUUUUUCACAUCGGGUGUCAUCAUACUUGAAAGCGGCCGUUUUGUAAUGAAAUAUUCUGUGUUCUGUUGAUUUGAUUAUUGGGGAAAAACCUCGGUGGGUUUGUGUCCUACUGAAAGAAAUUCCUUGCAAUGCGGCGCUCCAUUUUAACAUGAUUUUCCUGCCACAGGUUUGAAUUGCUUCUCAAUCAUUCCAGAAGCAGCCCGAUGUUGCCAGUCUUGAGUGUGUCUCGUUGAUUUCGGUGUGGCUUGUGUUGCUGAUGGAUUAAUCGGCCUCACAGCUUUUCUGUGAAACCAUCAAAACGAUUGUCAGCUCAGUUCAGAUAGAGACGGAACGUCUGCGCAGACAAUCUGCUCACCUGAACCGUCCAUCUGUGAUGCACCACGAUCUCCUGCGCAUUGUUCACCAAGCGUGUUUCAGCUUCAGCAGAGGCAAUGAUUUCCAAGGCUGCCUGGCUGCUGGAGGCAGGUGAAACAAUAGCUUAAAGCAGGCUUUGGUCCAGUUUUUUCCCCUUCAACAGGAUUGUUCCAGUAUGUUACCAGUCACAAAGCACUCGUAAUGGAGUGGGAAAUUAUCCUGACACACAUGAUUAAAAAGCAAAAGGAGAUGGAAUAAAAAUACAUUUGUUUAGAGUGAUUUGGUUUCUGUGUCUUGGUGCUGCUCUUUUUUUCUCCCUUCUUCGGAUUAUUCCUGCGAGACAGAAAUAUGUCUGACAGGAUGUAACGCUGUAGCCUCUUUCAGUGAGGCUUCUUACUCCCUCUUCUUCUUCCAGGCUCUGUUCUAAUCGCACGCAGCUGUCAGAUACAGGACAAUAUAGAUUUUCAAAGAUUAUUUUAUUCGUGCUAGAAGCGUUUCACUUCUGUAAAAGUAUUUUGUUCCAGAAGUCAUGAAGCUGAAAGUUUUUUCAAAAUGUGUAUAUGCGUAGCAUUAAUGAAUGUAGCUUAUGUGCACCAAAGGCGUAAUUCAAUAUAUUACCAUUAAUAUGGUAUGAUACAAACCAAGACAGAACAUCCAAAUAUAUCCGUUUCAUCUUGUAUUCAUUUAAUGUUUUUUAACCGAACCGCAGCCUGACAAACGUUUACCCAAUUUGUCACCCACAAGUGACAAAUCAAUAGGUUUAAAUAGAUUUAGCAUACACAUGAACAAAACAUAACAAAUAGAGGUACAUAGCUUUAAGAAAGAUGAGUAAAGAAUAAGGGAUAAUACAUUCAUACGACUUGUCCAUGUGCUUAAGUUUGUUCACCCAAGCUAAUUGACUUUAUUAAGCCAUGAAACAGAAAUCCAGUCCCAUCAUUCUUCUUCCACUAUCCUGUGGGACUCGUGGCUUUAUAAAGAUACUCUCACUGUUUUUUCUAUUUUUAUUUUCUUGACCUUUUAACUGAUGAGGUUGAGACACUUUGAUCUCAGGCACUUUCUGAAAUCAUGAGGUGGUCGUCUUGCAAACACAUGUAACUGUUCUUUUCUAAAGCAUGACAUCCGCUAAAUACUGUACAUCAUUAUUUAAAGGCGUUUUCUCUUCUCUUAUAGAUACAUUUUUUCAGUAAAAGUUUUUCAUUUUGGGAAAUACUCUUAUUCGCUUCCUCAAUGAGAGUUACAUAAAAGAUUGAUAUCGCUCUCACACUUGUCCGUUAAAUUCGAAUUCGCAGCUAGGAGAAGAGCAUCUUAGCAUAAUGACUGGAAAUGGGGAAAAUGAAAUCACGUUGUCACAUCUCAAACAGUAGUCAAUUAUUGAGGAAUAAACGGGAGUAUAUUUUUUACACAAUAAAAACAGGUUUUGGUUUUACAAAGUUCUGCGCCAGACUACUUCUCGGCUGACCACAAAGACUUCCAAGAGUCUUCUCUUCACUGAGAGGUUGGCAGGAGACCAGAUUAUUGCCCAAAAUGUGGAACGAUUCCUUUGAUGCAUUAUUGUCAAAUUAAUCUAUAAAUGAGAGCAAACAGAAAAAGACUUACAUGCAGAUCAUUUUGCAGGCUUCUUGUUCAAGAAUGAAGGAAAAACAGCAAGUGAAUAUAAUUUGAGACGCUCCCAUGACCCAACCUGAUUCAGUUGGUACGAGCUGAAACAUGCCAGCGUCUGAUAGACCCAUACGUGAGGAAAUGAUCUUUGUGAAAACGUCUGAAGAUGUUUACCCCCAAGAACAACGAUGGUGAUCUUCAGCCUCGACUUCGACAAAUAAUAACAUUAUUUUCCCACAAAUUAAUUAAUCUUCUCUCGGUGAGAAAGUGUCGGUGACCCUCAAGUGAUGCGUCAUAAACUUAAGUAUUAUAAAUUAUUGAGACAGUUUGUACUGAUCUGUCUGAAUUCCUAACAUUUGAAAACUGACUUCAUGCCAUUGACAAAGUUUGUUUUAGUAAAUGCACAAUAUACAACUUUUGUAGGACAAUUGUAGGAAAUAAAACACCAUCCAAAAUCAUUUUUUUACUCCAAACAGUGAGGAAUACAGUACAAAAACAAAAUUCAACCUCAAUAACAAUUUGAAUAUCUAUUUUCUUUAAUUUACUUAAUCCUCAUAGAAACCGAUGUAUGUUGUCAUAUACUGUGAAAAUCUUUGAGGAAAAUGAAUAUAUAUCAUUGCAAAAACCUACCUUCUCUAUACAUCCUUAUAUUCCAUCACAUGGAAGCAUAUUAGGUACUUUCAACACUUCAGUCAAUAAAACAUCUGAUACAUAUUUUCACGUCCACCCUCUGCAAUCCUUGAUGUCCAUGUGGUUGAGAAAAGCGGUAUCGUCGGGCAUUUAUGUACAAGUUAAAUGUCUCACGGCAUGUUGGACUAUUUCACCAGUAAAGGCAAAAGGAACGAGUCCGUUUCCCAUCGACUAAGUUGUUUAAAGGGAUGCAGGAUGGAUGCAAUAUGGCCAUCGCAUUGACACAGAUGAUCUCUCAUCUGCCCGCUGAUGAAGUACAGCAGGAGAUAGAGACCUACAGGGUGGUGUAGAUGUAGACAAAGAUGAUGACAACCAAGUUGAGAAUGGUUCCAAUGAUCCCCAGCAUGGCCAAGAUGCUCUCCUCCUUACUUUCCUUGUCUUGGAUUCCCUUUUCCUCAUCAGUGUGGAGAGUGUUUACCAUUUUCCCCGGGAAAAGACUGCAGUUUUCGUCUCAGACUAAUCUGAUCAGAUGAGAGAGAGAAACAGUCCUUGAGUUAGAUGGUAUUGCACACCGAUGAAUGGCAUUAAAAUGAAAAGAGGUAAGAAAAUACAAAAGCACUAAUUGGCCUGUAGGUGUGUGAAUGUGCCUGUGAAACUAGAGUCAAUGCCAGCUAGAAUUGUGAGAGACAUGGGACACACCCUGGACUCUCACUUGUCCCUCCAGAUUCUAGCUGGGAUGGACUCUAGUCCCGCGACCUCGUACAAGGGUCCAGUACAAGAUAUCAAAUGGAUUUUUGCCAAGUCCACAAAAAACUAAAGUUAAAGUGUGUUGUAGUUCAACGUUAUUAUUUAGGAGAUUUUGUUUUGAUCUUGUUUUGUAUGUCAAAUUAUGUUGCUGGUAAAACAUUUCAUUUAAAAUAUUCAUCCUUCGGCCAUUGCAAGUUUUUUUUUUCUUCUUUUUUUACAGUGUAGCCUUGUAGCCUCAGCUGUGUUACUUAUUCUACUGCUGUGGUCAGAUACAACUUGCCAGCUCCCAUGUGUGACUUUUCCAGUAGAUGUCUUUACGCGUGUGUGUGUGUGUGUGUGUGUGUGUGUGUGUGUGUGUGUGUGUGUGUGUGUGUGUGUGUGUGUGUGUGUGUGUGUGAGAGAGAGAGAGAGUUGUAUUGAUUAGUGUAGCCCGGAGUGGAUUAUUAGAAACUAGCUGUAUGUUUUCACCCCGCUGGCACAGCAGCUUGUGCAAGUCGGCAUCCAAAUAUCUCUCAGGAGAAAAGCACUAUUUCUGCGGGUCAGUUUUAUUCGCCGACUAGCACCUGUAAGGCAUGUAAGCUAUUGCAGAGUAAAAAAAAACCUUUUAUCAGGGAAAAGUUCCCCUUGGUGAAAAGCAGAGAUAGAUAAAUUAUUUUUUAAUCUCUAGCAGAGGUUUGCAUAAAGAUGCACCACCUGGGUACACAACAUACCUUAAGGCGGAUACACUGACUUGCAAUAAUAAAAACAAGUGUUGGCUAUAUUUUAAUGCUAUUAUGAAAUAAAUCAUUAUGCUAAAUUAUAUUCAACAACUUGUUUCCUUUGGCAUCUGUAUUGCUUUCUGUUAUCACACCUGAAGAUGAUUAGAAAAAUGUGUGGUCCACCCACAUUAUCCCAUGCAAAGGGAAAAGGUAGAAAUCAGUUUAACUAGAUCAAACUAGAUUCAACUGUUAGUUAUGUCCACUAUGAAAGGACCACUGUCUAGCAUGGGCUUAUGUUUAGGGCUUCUUAUACAUUUAUAAAAAGACAUGUCAUAAUGUUCAAAGUCAAGGGCCUUUUGUUCAGGCUUGACUUAUAAAAGGUCAAGAGCAUGAAACGGAUUGUGCUCACUGGAAGGGUAACACCCCACACUCUGAUUGAUCAUAGUCAUGCAUGGUGCUCUUGAUGCACUUAAAACCCCGUCAGGUUGUGUCUCUGUGUUUAAGGGUGUUCUCCUGUGAUCUGUAACAAUGGGUUUUGAUUGCCUCUCGUGGGGACCACUAUAAACGGGGCUUCCCUCAACACAGAUGGAGAUGUUUGUGUGGCGCGCUGGAUGUGUCCUCGCGUCAAAUUGGGGUCUCCACUCAUUUCCACUCAGGAAACAUUUCCACUCUAAACUUUUUUAAUUGUUUAAAUAUAAAACCAGGGACAAAAAAAAAAUGUCCAAAAGUUGCUUUUCUUUUACUUCAUCGCCCCAGAUUUAUCUUCAGACUGUGAAGGUUGGCAACCAAAUGGACUAAACUACAUAACUGUACACAAAUAGGCUAAAACUAGCUUCAUCUUGACCAGCUACAUUAAGAUGGUCUUUACAUAUUGAUGCCUCCGUAUUAAUGAUCCCAUAAAGUCAUACAUGAUGAUAUAUCUGUCGCAGGGGACAUUUCACUACAAGUACUGUCACAUUUAAUGACAUGUAACUAAUAAUACUUAAAAGAAGGAUCUUAAUCUUAAUUCCUCCACCUCCAUUACCAAGGAGGUCGAGGAAUGAUAGUGGAGUAGGAGGGUCCAGACUCUUUUGAAAAAGCAGAGUACCACAGAGUACAGCUGUGCCUCACACACUCAACCUUUUUUUUAAGUAGAAGCCGAUGCUGGCAUCCUGCAAUGUGCCAUAAUAAUGAAGCACUCAUAAUGACUCUCUGUGCCUGUUAAACACAGAGGACAAGCUGAAAAGGAAAGUCACAUCAAUAUACUCACAUACAGCUCGGCAUAUCAAUUGAAAGGUUAAUCCAGCCGUGAUACAGUACACAGCCUCCACUUAUCCACCUCUUAUUGAUUAGUAAUUAGACCCUGUGUUAUUCUGAGGUGGGAUUGAGGUAUCGCAGUAUGGAUUAAGAGCUCAUUUGAAACCAUUCCAACACUUCUAUUCUUCUUCAUUCCCAACUGUGAUGAAUCUUAUCAGGUUUGUUGUUGUUACGGAGGCUUCUGUUUCAAGUAUGAUACAUGCGGCAUCUCUGGAUCCUUUCAAAUGGAAAUGCAUCUCCUUGAGAUGUUUCUCCGUAAGAAGGCGAGCUCACACCUCCCUCUUCGCCUCGUACAGAAACAGCCAGGAACGUAUUUGUGUAAAAAGAGCAGACACACAGACAACGAGAGAAAGGGAGAGGUAGAAAAAAGGGACGGUGCCACACCUGGAACAACAAAACAGCCUCUCCUGCUACACCUGACAGGAGCUAACGUCCUCAGAUCGGAUCAGUGGAGAGUAAAACCUUUUGCCACUUGAAUAAUCACGAGCAUGUCAAACGACACACAGACGCUAACAGUCUGACGGGCAUGAAUUGCUAUUGGCAUUGUUAUAAAAUGGAAAAUAAGCAAACAGCCCCCUCCUGAGUGUGUCAACACACACACAUACACACACUCACAUUCAAAGGUUGUCGCCGUGACAUGCUGACAACACAAAGACGUAAACGUAAUGUCUAGUAACAAUGCACAUGUUUGCACAAUUUUAAGAAAGAAGACGUAGGAAAGAAGUCAGAAGAUUUCCCAGUUUUCUUGUGGAAUCAGAUGAGAUUCUGGCAUUAGUGUGACCCAUUUUCUACAACCUGUACCCGUUGUUCUGGGAGUAGGACGGAAGUGACAGAUCUAUUUUGGUUUGGAAAAGAAUUGCAUUCACAAAGAACUUUAAUUAAAAGGAUCCUAUUAGAGAAAAGUUCAGAUAUGCAGGAAACUACGGCUUGAAUUUACGAACGUGGAAUUAGACAUAAAAGAAGAUUGACGUAUUAUUAUUUUAAAAAAACAUCUCCAUAGGGAAAGCAUAGUAAGUGGGCACAAAAACAGGUUGACAUAAGCUUUGUCUUGGAAUUCAGUUGAACUGUUUUACAUUUGAACAAAGAACUAGUUGAGUCACAAAUGACUUGUCAUACCUCAUUUAUGAUAGUACUUCUAUUACGUAAAAAGCAAUUGAAACUUGUUAGCAACAUACAUUAUGAGCAACUCCAAGAAGGGCCAUGUGGAGUUUUAUUUCUUUACAAACCCGGCUAAUAGUAUAAAGUAAGAGUAAGGCAGAAAACACAAAAGGAAACCGUUUUGGUUCAGGGUGUCUCUGCUGCCUUAAUCAAUCAUUCAUACAAACAAAACUCAGCCUGGAAAUAUCAUACAAAUAUAAAGAAUAUCAAUGUUUCAUAAUACAUAAUAAAUUAUAGCUACACUCUGUUUUCGCAUUUAAAAACGGUAAAAGAUUCAUUUUGUUUGACUGUUCACAGUUGUGCACAUAAUGAAGAACAAUGAAGCGCUGGGUGACAUCAUAGACCUUACCUUGCAAAGCAUCAGGAGUAGCAUAACAUUUAACAUGCUGGAGGCUGGCGUCUUCCUGUGGUGCACAGACAUCCCCGGCAACUAAGGUGAAAGUCGACCCCUCUCAUCCUUCGGCUGUGGAGGGGCACAGGAUCCAGAGAGGGAGGGCUCGUCUUCCAGGCGGUCCACUUUUAGGGCUCUGUGUGGAUGUCGUACCCUGCAGCGCUCCAGCGUCUCCUCCCCAAAUUUCAUCUCACUAGUGGCCAAGUUCUAGCUGCCGUCACUUUCUCCUCCUCAGUCUCGUAAGAGCUGAAAACUGUGCUGCCCACCUCCUCUCGGCUCGUCUUCUUUCUCUGCUUUGUUGACGUCUCACCUCUGCUUCCCCUUGUCUUCUUCUUCUUCUCGUCUGUGAGGAAGGACGCUGUCCGGUUGAAGAAUGAAGUCAGUUGAUGGGCAGGUUUUAUGUGGCCAUUUCAACCUUUUUUUUAAAAAUGUAUUCCGCAAAGCUUAAAAAAAAAAAAGCGAUUUCAGUCUAGCCUCUUGUGCCAAUAACCCCUUGUCAAGCCUUGAUAAAGGCUCAUCUCUAUGAAACUUUUAUACUGCUCAGCAAUGUAAAACAUAUUUAUCUGAUGUCCUGGCUUUUAAAUGUUUCAUGCUGAAACAAAAAAUUGAAAAAAGCACCGUUGCUGAAGUGGUGGAAGCCCCUGCCUGCUGUAGCCAACAUAUCUUUCCUUGCGCUCCAGUGGCUCAGCGUGUAUCUCUAACUAACUGAGCAGAGCGCCAAAGCUGGACGCUGUCAGAGAGAGAGACAGAGAGAGACGAGGGGUUGGGGGAGAUGGGGGGGGUGAAGGAACCCGUCCCCUCACACUGACGCUGUCGUGGUUACUUUCGCUCCGCGGGCAAGAGGUAUCCCCUGCUCCCUUUCUACGGUGCAUAUUAACGCAGCAGCCACGGUUGCCUGGCAACCGACUCCCCACAGAGACGGACGGUAUUUUGUGACAGAGGCCAGGAUGAGGGUCUCCCCUGUGCAAUAUUGUGUGAACAUAUGACUGUGUUUGAUGUGAAAUAUGCAGGAAUGACCUGCCAUUAAUCAAGGCGUGUGGGAUUUGUGUGUUCGCGUAUGUUUUUUUGGCUCCAGUCAAAGUUGGGCGACUGUGAUCGUGGCCCGUGGAUCAUAGAAGCAGUGAGUAACAGUCAACUUUGGUGAGAUUUGACCUGCAAAAAAAAAGCUUUCCUGACAGUGUUCACUUUUGCAGGGACGUAGAGUUGUAGUGUGAAACCCAGGAAGCAGUUAAAGCUGAUCUAUUCCAUUUUCUAGUAUUGCUAAAAAAGUUUGCGCACAGUUUACAAAUACAACUGUUGUGUACAUUUUAGGAGUGUUAUUAGGUUAUGUGAAACUAAAUCAUUGAUAUUAGAAUAUUAGAAAUAUUCAUUUUCAAUAACAUAAUUCACAAAAAAAAUAAAAAAAUAACAGGGACUAAACUAUAACUCGUCUCAUAAUCGAUGUUCGCUCUUCUUUUAACUUCAAGCCCAGCUGUCACCAUAUUGACGUGGAGGUGACAGGUUUGCUCUCAAUUCCAUAGUGGGUGAAUGUAAGCAUCUCCUUUCUGAAUGUCUUGGAUUUUACGUUUGGGGGCUGAAGCGACUGAAAGGCAAAAUAAAAGGUGUAGAGUAUGUCAACGCAUUAAUACAAAGACACAGUGUCAGCCCAGCUUAUGGUGUGUGUGUAUGUAGGUGGUUGUGUGUGUCAGGAAAGAAAGGUACUCCGGCACCAGGUGCAAACGUGUGUUUGCAUGUCUGUUUCACCUUCCUACAUUCAUAUAAACUUUCCUCCACAUGUAUUCACAGUUCACAUCUUCCUUCUCUCUUGCCUAGAAAUGUAGGGGAACUCACAGACAAGAACACGUAAUAUUGAUCUAAUGUGAAUAACCUCCAGGACAUUUUCAGUGCAAUCCGACACCAGGACGAACGCUCCCGUCCCGGUCCUCUCCCUCCGACUCUGUUUUCUCACUUCACCUCUGCCAGAGGGAAGGACACAAGCUUUCAGUGUUUGAACUGCGAGCGAGAGACUUAUCUCUCGGUUUUUCAGGAGACAUGACUCACCCAGGUCAUGCCACCCAUUUCUCCUUCCUUUUUUUUAAGCAGUUUUACUACUUGAAUAUUUAUAGUUAUUCAUCUGUUGGGCCUUCUCAAAGGGACAUAUCUCUGCAAGAGGACAGAAUCAAAUGUUCCAUCCUCAAAUAUUUUGUUAUGACUUUACACCAGUCUGCUUGGGUUUGAAUUUAAUAUUUUAGGUGUGUUUCUUUCAGCCUUUUUUAUGUCACUGAUUCUUAGAAAGAUACAUAAAAGAAGUCAGAUGUCAUCUUUAAUGCUGAACAAUGAGGUUCAUAUUUCAGAAAUGCAGGUAAAAAUGUUUUUUUUGAGGUUGUGAAAUCAAAUAAAACAUAAAAUAAAAUUGAAACUAGAUUUUACUUUUACGUGAAUGGUUGUGGUUGCUGAUGGAAAUCUUCUAAAUGGGUAACAGCUGCCAACAAAUCAGAUUAGGCUCCUGGGUCCUUUUGUUGCUUUGCGCACAAAAGGACCUGAAAUGGACAGUAAUAAAAAUGAAAAUGCAAAGGAAACAUUCCCUCCGAACUGAAACCACUGGUGUGCAUAAUUUCCUUGCAUACUUCUCAGUCCCCUGCCUCAAAAUAAAUUUAACUUGGACCAUUGCUGCCUACAUAAGGAUUUAUAACAAUUAAUCAGGGUGUCCAUUGAAUCUGUUCUUGUCAUCUGGUAAUCAGAUCAGUUUCUUCUGGUUGAUCUUCCUCUGGCUCACAUAAAUUUCCAUCAAUAACAUCAUUCUCAACUCAGGCUCACACUGGUAUGCUCAUCUAAAUUGUUAUCCAGCCAAAUGUCAAGUGUGUCUGAACUCUUUAAACUAACUACAGAGUGAGGUGGGAUUUUCCCAUUAUUAAACCUGCACAAAUCCACAUGCGUAUGUUAACAAGAGAUCAACAGACCAUCUGAAAGGGGCCGUUCAAAUCGAUGAACCUAAAGAGAAUCAUCACAAAGAAAGUGUUACAUGUACAAAACAUUCAAGCAUCUCAUGUCAGCUUAUUCCUAUGUUGUUAUAUAUUCAUUUUCUAUUCAAAUAACUAUGAACUCUGUUGAGCAGUUAAACAAUUUUAAAUAAUUCAUUGGGGGGCCUAUAUGUUACAAAAAUUGUUUUUGUAUCUGUUGCUCUUAAAAUGCUCUUAAUCUGCACGCCAUUAACUAUAGCGGGCCAUAAAUAUACUAUCUGCUAUCUACAGUUUGCUCUGCGUCUCCCUAUCAUUUUAACAUUCAAACAAUCAUUUAAUUCAGGUGAAGCCAUAUAAACGUAAAUAACUUUCCCUGUAGUAGCAGGUAAGAAGGACCCUGAGGUGAAGUUGGCUUACAGAAAUAUGUUUCUGAAGUGAAAGUGAGAUUUAAAUAAACAGUGCUGGGAAGGUGUCAGUUUUCCACUGUAAAAAGCUUUGAGUUAACUUUAAUUAAUUUCACAUGGUAAGCUGCACUAGCAGAGCUUCAUGAGGUACAUCUGAGGACAUAAAGUUAUUUACUGCAAAUUAGUGUGAGAGAAAACUCAUGCACAAAAAUGCCAGGUAUUAGUGUUUAGUUUUAGAUUCAAGGGCAAAGCUAAUGGAAUCUGAAAGUCUUAGCGAAGAAGUAAUCUACAAUUACUGCCCCUGGUUUUCCUCAUCACAUCUGCUCUGUGUUUGUAUUCACUCGUUCAACUUGUGCUUUCUAAUUUGUCCUUCACGGAACACAGCUCAGUAAUGCCACCUUAUUAAUUAUUGAGAAGCUAGAGAGUCGUGCCCCAUACGAUCAAAGAUAAACAAUCUGUGAAGUUUUGUUCUGUAAACCUUUUUUAUUCGCGGUGAAGAAACAUCAAAACUUCACCUGAAGGUCGGAAAAAACAACACAGUGUUGGUCUUGGAAAAAAAAGCUUCCUAAAAAACUGCACAAAACUUCAAUCUCAAAAGAGGGAUAUAUAUUUUUUUGUGGAGGUAAAGACAUGCGGCGGAUGGUUAAGCGGGAAGAGUGGUUGUAUGAGGCUAAGGAGUAAGGCGUGUCAUGGCAGCCAUUAAUCCUAAUUAGCAGACAGCAUGACAGCAGCAUAUGGGUGUCCUCCAGUCACAGAGUCAGACGGCUGCUCUCCCAAUCCUGCUCUUUUCACCAAGGCAAGGGGAAUAAAAUAUUCAAACUGUGAAAGAUGUUUUUAUUCCUCUAUUUCAUAUGGGAGAGAUGGAUGGGUGAUAAGCAGAGGCUGGACAAUGUAAAAGCAUUCCUGUUGAUGCUGUAGUAAUGUGAUCCUAGUAACCUCAAGUUGGCACGCUGUAUGGGCUAAAUAAUGUUAAAAGAAAUAGAAAAGAAGAGCCAUUAAAGAUUGAUUUGAAAGUUUUGAUUCUGCUUCAGUGGUUGAAAGUCUGAUAGAAGAAGAAAAACGCUUGACCUUCAGAAAAUUACUUUUAAAACAGCUGUAGUAAUGCUUUUAGGCCUGAUUGGUCAAAGCCUGUUGCAGGACAGCAUACGUCUUGGCUUCUCAUUGGCAUUUUCAUUCAAUUAUUUCAUAUGGAAGCUUGAUAAUCAAAUCAAGUACUACUUGUUCAUGGAAGUCUGAUUUGACCUAAACGUCAAGAUUCUAGUAGUCUUCAACAAACGGCUUUUAAGAUAAUUCUGUAUUUUAUUCCAGAUGAUAGCUGGGAGAUAAAUUAGUAGUCAUAUUGUGCAGAUUUAAUAUUUUAAAAUGAAUGAAAGCACAACAUUUGAGUUGGAAGGCCAUACAGCUAAUUUACUUAAUUUAUUUAGUUGUUCCUUGCGUUUACAUACUGAAACAAUGUGUUUUUCUGACAGAUGUGGUAUUGAACGAGACUACUUUAAACAUAUUAUUUGGAAUUUAACAGCCAUGCAUUAGCAGAUAACCACGCAGGCGUGACAACGACAAACCUCCGAGAUGCUCAGACUCUCUCUCCAGAGAUAUGCUCUGCAUCAGGGGAAGAGCAAAAGAAGCAGCCUGAGAGAAUACUAACGAGAGCGUUUAACACAGAGUGUUUGAUUGCUUCUUUUGAUAUCCCAGGCAGAGAAGCUGCCUCAACGGAUAUCAUCUCAAAAACCUCAGGUCAAUCCUUCUGAAACUCACACAAUUCUUUUCCUCUCAGCGUUCCUCUCUGCCGUGCUUCUCUCUCCAAAGGGGCCAGCCGGAUAUCCCCGAAGCCUAAUCUCAAACUGCUUACAUCAAAAGCCUGUCAGCCUGAGCGUACAAAAGCCGGUUUUCUGAGAGCGGCGGCUUGUCCGACUGGAACACUCCAGCGCAGCUUUCAUUUUCAUCCGCCCGACGUUGGCGAGAGAAAAGCGCGUUGUGGUAGUCCAUCUGGAGACGUCUGUGGGUUAGCACGCGCAUAGCACACUUCACAAGUGUUUUCUUUCCAUGGAAAUACAUUCAAAUGUAUUCCAGUUUACAUCGCUUCCCGAGCGUUAACUUUAAAGUCUAAACGUCUGCGACACAAACAAAGCUUCAUCAUCGGUCGGGCUGAAACUCGGGAUGAAAAGGCACGAGGCAAUCAGCUUUGAUGUUGAGCUCGUUCAAUAUUGCUGUCAACUUUCAAAGUCAGCUGUGGGGCCGGCAGGUAUAUGAUACGUCUACCCUCUGACUUCAGUGGAAACAGUAAACAACAUCUUGCUUUGUGGGAUUUUACGCUUGUGUGACAUAUUGCAUAUAUAUAUACUGAGCCCGUACAAAUUGAUGUAGGUUGUAUAAUAAACAGCUUCCUGAAUAUUGUGGCUUGUGUGGUUUUGGCAAUAAAUGACAUGAAUAAAUGGAUGAGUACAUCAAGAUUAUACAAUUUCACGUUGCCAGCAUGCUGCAGGUAGAAAAUAGCCCACAUAUUAUUAAGACUCCUCUUUUUAAACGGUUGAUUAAUAGAAAAAAACAGGAGGAAAGCAGUUUGAGUUUGCUGAGGAGAGUUUUUCUAACAGCACGCUGUCUCUGAAGGAUCUGGAGGUGCAGUAAUAAAUCAUGUGUUGCAUACAAAAGCAUCAUCAUUAUAGCUCAUAUGAUACUCAUUUGUGAUAUUCCGAGGCCUGAAUCUGAAUGUAGUGAACAGUUUUCUGUCUUCAUCGAUACAUUAUCUUUGAAAAUGUUUGUUUAAAAUCAUCAAUGUGUUAAUCAGUAGGAUUUCUCCCUCUUUCUUUGCACUUUAUAAGUCAACAAAUGUAAAGUGUUCACUCAAUACAGCACUAAUGUAUUGAAAUUAAAUAAUAAUGUCAUCCUUAAGAUAUUUAGCCUUAAGCUAUAAAAUAAUAGGGAUGUAAUCAAGGACAGUGCAGCAUUAUCAAGGCUGAGAAGCAUCCUCCACAUCAAAUGAUUGUUUUUUUAUUCUCCGAUUUAGAUAAGUAGGCUAAGUAGGACACUGAGGAACUGAGAAAUAGAUCAUUAUCUAGCUGAAACAAAUAAUGUGUUGAGAAAUGAUUCUGGCAAAUCAACGAUACAAGAGCCCCUUUUAUGUUGGGUCUUCUGGGUGGUGACAAUUUAACGUUCAUCCUCCGCUGUGCACCAUCUUUUAUAUGCCUGGAGAAUCUGGGCUAACUCACUGGUCCUGCUUAUCGUGCAUUCUCUGUUCCUCCGAUAAAUAAAUAUAAAUAUACCAAUUUAUUGUCCUAUCGAUGGUGAGUCGAGUGUUGAAAAGCACACAGAGAUUUUAAAAAGGAUUGUUGAUAGAUCUGUAUUUUCUGAAACGGUUGCAAGCAAAACUGCCAAGUCUGACAAAUGAUCCAUUUUGUGGGAGACAUUAACAUAUUGAACAUGGGGGAAUAUCGAGCCAAAGGAUUACAGCAACACAAUCCUAGAUGGAUCCGAUCUGCAGGUAUUAAUGAGAAAUCUUGCUGUAUCAAGCGGCUCUGUUGUGAUUUAAGGACGUUCAACAGCAGCACUGAUCCUACAGGAAGAUAAGUCUUCCUCUCUCUGACCGCCCUUCUUUUUCACGCACAUGCCCACGAGAAACACUGGUUCUCACUCAGUCAGGAGAGAUUAUUGGUUGCACCUUUGGGCUGAGUUCAAGAAUAUUGUUCAGAGUUUAAUGUCUCUGAGGCGCCUUAUGGUACCAGGCUUUCUAUGAUUUACCAGAGAAAGUGAGUGGGUUUUCAAAUGAUAAGAAUUGUUUCGAUUGUGCUCUAAUCUAAAAUCGAAUUUCCAUGUUCCGUACACCAAAUUCACACGGAUUUCAGUCAUAAUCAAUAUUCAAUUCAAUUAUUGUAGGCUAUUAUAUUUGUAAAUGAAUUUCAGUGGCAAUAGUUCUGUUUUUUACUUCAAUUUAUUGUGGAUCCUUUCUUCACUUCUGUCUGAUACCGGACUGCUUUCUCCUGGGGAAAUGUGGCUGUGAGGCUGCUGUAUAAAACGUUUAUAACUGGGGUGCAACAUUAGAUAACGUUGGCAAUGAGGCUGUGGCUACUCUAUCUGAUACUGAUAAAAGAUGCCAGAAACAAACCACUGUGAUUCAUUGUCCGUUGCAUCUAAACCAGGAAUAUAUUAUACUUCAAAAUACAAAUGAGUACAAAAUGAUUCAAAUCUUUAAAAGCAUUGGACUUUGGGGUCUUAAUAAACAUUUCAAACCCCAUAGUAAGUGAUUACACUUCUCUGUUUUUCGUCUUUGUCCGAUAACAGUAUAUUUGGCAGUGUAGUACAUUAUAAACCUGUAUGUGACGCUAUUUAAGAGAGUACUCCUUAUUGUGCUGCUCUAUAAUUCCUUUUGGAGCUUGUUUGUGUCAUGCCACUUCAAUAAUGAGGACAAUACUGUACAGGGCUGUGUUGAUCUGAACUAAUUCAUCCUCUUUAGCCUCAGAGGACCACUUCCCACCUCCAAAACUUCCCCCGCAUCAAAACUGUCCCUUCGUUAGCUCUGAAUAUAUAUCAUAAACUGUAGAGAACUGCAGAUUGCCGUCUUAUUUUAUCAGCUUCCCGAUAGGGGGAAAAUAAAAGCGAGCUAACCAUUUGUUGGGCACUUAGUGAAAAGGGCUUGUAUGUACUGUGUCAUUUUGUAGAUGACGAACUUGUUUAAUUUCUCUGUACUUGACAGAGCGUGGAGAAUAUGCAUGAGUGAAUGCAAUAUUAAAUGGCCUGUUGGAGCAGCCGUAACGCAACAAGGUGAAGGGUCCACCGUGUUCCCCAUGCAGCGCUCAAUGCGGCUGCCUGUGGAAGCUAGAGCUGCAGGGUUUCAGGUCUGAUUUCUUAAUCAUGUGUAACAUUUGCAUAUUUUACAGAAGAUUUCAGAACGGGGAAACAAAUUUAUCGUUUUAUUUUCUAAAUGUAGGAGGGGUGCAUUGAGAAGGUUGUCAAUUUAAUUCAAGACUAACGAUUCCACCAAUUAUUCAACAAAAAUAUUUUGAAAAAAUAGAACUGUGUCUCCCCUCGAUACUCAUUUCACUCAGCAAUGCGCUGAGUGUCAGAUAAUCUCCACCUGCUGGAGCCACAGCAGAGGCCCUCAUGUGGUCCCGGAGCCGGUCCAAGCAGCCGAGGGAAGCACACGUCAAUAACAGUGAGCCAAUUAAAAUCACUCUUCAUUUAAGCUGUGAUCUCUAUUGAUUUGCCUUUCAAUUCUGAUCCAUCAGGACCGCCUUGAUGGUUUGGAGACAUAGAAUGUCUUGAGUUUUUUCCUGCUUCCACUUCCAACUACCAGCAGCUUUUCUGAAAAUCAAGGCAGGCUGGUUACAGAAGCUAUGCAGAGCUUGUGCUUUUGAUUCUGUUGUACAGCUGCAGAAGGAUAUAACAACUGAAGUGUUGACUGCAUAUCGAAGCAAACAUAGGAGACACAGUAAACAACAGAAAUAAUCUGUGAUCGAUAUGGAUCAAGGUUAUAAAACUGGACAUGAAUAUAUGACCUUUAUUUUUUAAUCCGCAAUAUCAAAAAGAAAAACGCUUUGAAAGCUUGUUCUUCAUAAUUAGUCAAUCUUGCUGCUAAAUCAUUGGUUCAUUCAGCAGCUGUGUGAUUAUCACAUGACUAAUAACAUGGAGGCGUGCAGCACGGGCAGUUCAACUGAACAUUUGCCCCAGGAACAUUCAUGCGGAAGCUGAUUGCUGCUGCAGCUGCUUCCUCCUCCCCACCAACCAUAUCUUCAUGCAAUAUCCAAUGGUAUUAGUUAAAGUAAGUAUUUCUUGUCCCAGGAAAACUUGUUUAAUCUUAGUUUUAGUCCACUGAACUAAGCACAGUUCAUUGAUGCUACUUUACUGAAAGAAGUACUAAUUUACAUUUACCACAAUGAAGGCAUUUGACAGAACGGAUGUUUUCUGUGAUAAAAAAAUUCCCCUUUUGUACCUUUUAUGGAUCCUUAUCAACUAAAACUGUUUUAUCCGGAAAGCAAACUCUCACAGAUUAUUAAUUAAAGCCAAAUAGUUAAUUGUAUCAAUGAGUUUGAAAUGUGUUCUUCAAUUGUAUAAAAAACCUGUUAAAGACGUGUGAAGGUCAAAUGGAGGAUGUGCAUCAGCCCAGAGGCUCCGUUCUUCUUUUUAUUCUUCCUCCGACAACAUCUUCUCCUCCAAAAGGAACAGGAGGUCAAAAAGCAUGAUGAGGUUGUUUGGUGACUUGACAUGAAUUGUAAAUGAGUGAAUAAAAGUGUGGAUGUGAGCGUCCAUCUACAUAGCACUGCUUCAGCCCCUCUUUUUACUUUUAUUUUUUGCUUACUUUGAAUUAAUACUGUCUUGUAAGCAUACAUAAAUGUUAAUAAUUCCAGUGCUUGCAGAUGCAUUUCUUUCAAGAGACUUGUUUUCUUGCAGAUUCGAAGGCCUUGAACUGUCAGUGUCUUCUCCCUCGAGCACAUAACGCACGCUGUAUCAACUUUCUGGUUCAGCAGCUUUGAUAAUAAUCUGACCUCACCUUUUUGGUUGUUUUGGGGAGUUAAGAUUUUCCUUCUGUAUGCGUGUAAACACUGCAAAGUAGGCGUGAGUAUUCAUCUUGCUGCCUCAACCCUCCCUUGUUUUACAAAGGUUAUUUUUGUGACAACAAACCUCCUCUAACGCAGUGUCGUCUGAAGCAGCUUUGUCCUGGACUGUGGCCAUUUUUUUCACAAAUCACUGCCAAUUAAUAUUAAAAGCUGGCCAGCAAUGGCACUUCCAUUUUCAUUACUGUGCCCUGAUAAAAAAUCACUCACACAAACAUACAAGAACACAUUAAAAGGUCAACGUGACAAGGUGACAAGCGAGUGAUCGAACUGAAAGACAAAAGCAAAGACAUUUCGCUUUGAAGUUAAUAUGGUUAAAAACCACCCUUUAUAUAAGGGCCAGAUGCAUUAUUACAUCCAACUUUCAUGAAAUGCUAAUGACACUUGAGAGCAAGGUUGCUGUUAUGCUUUGGAUUGAUUCAUGUCUGAAUUUCAGAGAAUGUUUGCACAGCUGACAGACUCAAAGUAGGUUAUUCUCACACUUAAUACGCCCUAACAUAUAGGGCCACAUCUGUUUCUCUCUUACAGCAUAGUAUCCUGCCUGCAAGCUGUGUUUCCUUAUAAUUCCCUGUACAGCAUGUUUUACAGGCCUAACCAAGCCCUGGGGGUAAGCACAUUUAUUAAAGUACUUUAUUGGAGUACUUUGUUUUUGUUACACAUUCUUUUUCAAAAGAAAAAGCUAAUUUAUUGUGGAAUUGAUUUCAUUAUUUGAAGAAUAGUACUUGUUUUAUAUAAAGAGUUUUUUUUCCUUGAAAUUAUGAUGCGUCAAUAUCACGUCUUGGGGUACACAGGAAAUUAGUUAGCUGCUAAUUUCAGUAGAUCUCUCUGUAACCCAAUACAACUACCUCUAGUAGAUCUAGGAACCUCUGGUAAUUUGAAUUAAUUGAAGAUGAUCACUGUGAUCUUUAUCCGAUGUGAUUGCUCAAGAAAAUAAUUUUACAUAUUUACCAAUAUAUCAGGAAAUGUUAGGAUAUUGUGCUAUGCAAAUCAGUAACUCUGCGAUAUUUGGGUGGUAUCUGAGGCUGCAAUGGCAAUAUAUAAAUCAAAGUUUUGAGAGCAUUUCGGAUGCAAAUUGGAAAAUAAUAUCUAGAAUAUUAACUGUAACGUCUUACCAUAUCUGGGGACUAAUUUUGGUAAAUUUAAGUCAUUUCAAAAAUAACACAGUCCCUGGUAAUACUAUUUCUGUGCAAGCGGAGCUUAGCAGUAACUUCAACAUCGCAACCUCUUAACAUGUUGAUAGUUUUAACUCAUUUUUUUGAAAACCAAAUCUAGUUAUUUUAGUUCCGUUAUGGUAUCAGAAUUUUCUGCACUUUUUUUAGGAGAGUGACUAACAUUGGCAGCAGAAAAAAAAAUGUUAAUGUCUACACAAAGUUACAGAAAACCUCUUCUUCAAUUCAACAAUUAAAAAAAUGGUACCUUAACGUUUCGUUUACAGUUUCCCAGCAGCAACAUGGAUGGCUUUAUUUAUCUGUACCUUCAAUAGCAUUAAAUCUUAAAGCAUAAUAUCAUUCAAUUUGAUGUGGAUUUCUUGGAAAUGAUUAUACAGGGAGUUGGAGAAUUCAGGAUUUAGAAACCAAUGUUGUAUUAUUAGAACAUUUUUACUAGCCUGUCCCUUUUUACAGCUUCGGAAAUCUAUUUCCCAGAUCAUGUGUGCAGCCCAAGUGUGUCUCGAUCCUGCUCGCAUCUUAGAGUUAGAGUAUAGUGGGAUGAUGCUCCCUGAUGCUAUUGAGGCUUUGCCAUGGCAACCGCCUUGCCUAUCGCAUCCUGCUUUGUGCCAAUGAGGCCCCUGGAUGCACUCUCUCCCCUCCUCAGCAUCGUGGCAACCCCAGUGUUCCAGGCCACCACAUUGUUUCGCCGAUGAUUAAUUACCGUCCUGAUGAAAUGUGAAGGCUGGAAAUGUCACAGGGAUGACAUGGGCUUGUCAGUGUGUGCUAGCUGGGAGGAGCGUAUUGCAUAGAGACAUCUGAAAUGAUAUGGAGCACCAGCCACAUACCGACUUUCAAGGAAAUAGCUAAUUAUAGCAGUAUUAUGUAAUUUAAUUUUUCUUUUCUUGUUUCUUGUUUCCUGUUUAUCUUGCAAUGUCAAAAAAUGUGUUUACAAAUACAAAUUACUACAAUGCCUCCAUACAGUCGCUCAUCUCCUCACCUCCUCACCUUUUCCUCUUUACCUCCUCAAACAAUUACCACUCAUACAGAUGUGCUGUCGAUUCAAAAUGUCUGCACAGAAAGUUUUUAAUCCAUUUGUGUUUGGGAAAAUAGGGCAGGAAGGUAUCGCUUGAUGAAAAACACAAAUGACAUACAAAAUUUCCCUGAUGAAUUGAUCCAUUUACUGAAAUAAAUUGAAUUGAUGCAAAGGAUCCCAGAGGAGCAGAACAUUUUUCAGCAAUGGAUAAAAACCCUCUUGCAGCUACGGCACCGACAAGCAGCCACGCUUAUUUGUAUUACACAUAAGACUUGUGAGGAUGUGCUGACAGGCCUGUUUAUCCCGGUUAAUAAGAGCAGAUGUUUUUUCUCUGAGCAAAAAUGUAUACUAAUUAACUCGAGACACACAUGAACAACGGCAAUUAUUUAAAUUAAUCUGGUUUGCUUGUGUUAUCACAUGAGAGAGGCAUGUGUAGAAAUAGUAUCAUUCGUGUUUUAAUUCUUUAAUUGUUUACCUGUUUUAAUAGCCAAUCUGUACAAGGUAACCCUUCCCUGAAAACACCAGGUAUCCGUAUGGUAAAGCAGAUUGCAAAUGAUCAGUCAGCUCAUAGAGGUACGAGUGGGCAGCUAUCACAUCCUGUUAAACUGUAUGUUCAAAAAUGACAAGGAUGCAAUUUCAUGGCAAAUUUCUGGUUUAGUUUGAGCCUUUCAAUGUCAUAUUCAAGUCAUAUUCAAUUAUCUUUUUUUCCCCAGUCACAUAUGUUCAAACGUAUCAACUGAAUCCAUAGAUUUCAAUCUUCUCUGUUAGUUUUCCUCAUUUUUGCAACACAUCACCACACAUCCAUCCCUUGACACCGCUACUUAAAGGUUUCAAAACAUAUGGCGAAGUCAACUCUGUUGCUGUGUGAGCAGAUGUUAUUGGUUGAUUAAAAUGCAUUUGUUCUUGAACGAUUUGUGUCUGUUGGAGCAUUUCCUUCUUUGGUGUCCUAAUGAUUAGGCAGCAAAGACGGCGUGUUUCCACCUUCUGGUUUUAUGGACAACUUAUCCACACACCAUUACAGUUCAAGAUUAUGGAUGGCAGCGCUUUAGGUCAAUUUGUAAUGUGUAGUGGGAUAUCAACACAUCUGGAUGCACAGAGCACAGCAUCAUUCAUUUGGCAAUUUAGUAUACAUUGUGCGUUUGCCUGACAGUAAACAUGAGUAUCUCAUCAGUUAGCUAAAACAAAAGGAGAUUUACAAAGUACAUAUUUAUGACUCGGCUUGAAGAAUGUGCAUAGUCGCUCUCCCCUUGACCUACUCCUGUAGGAACAAAGUAGAUGCUAGGUCAAGAGAUGAUCUGUUAGACUGUAUUUUAUAAGCUAGCAGCAGUACUGCAGGAUUUUAAUCACCGAGGGCGUUUUAUAUGCAUAUGUAUAUUCAAUAUGUGGCAGUAAUUCCUCUCUGAGACUCACUGAGUGUGAACUAGUUGGUUGAGUCGACACAACUAAGCCUCCCAGAGCUGUGAAAUAGAAAUGAAAUUCUAUUUCAACCUUUCAAAAC
ensembl:lncRNA